GUUUUUACCUUCCUCAGCUGGGCUGUCUUCCCUGUCCCCAGAUGCGCUGCACCGCGGAGGCACGCUGUGCUGUGCGGUGCGGUGCGGGCAGAGGAGGGGGCCCAGCCUCAGAAGCCCUUCUAUUGCAUUCCCUGGAACUGGGUUCGUGUGCAGUGUGUUUCCCAAACUGGUCGUCACCUCAAGGGUACAGGCAGUCCCUGCUUGGUCAAGGUGAAAGCCGGAUGCCACCUUGGCCGGAUGCCGAGGGCCAGCGGUUCCCCUCAACCCUUGACCUCCACCUUCCUGUACCCACUAUGCUUUUCCCUCCAUAAUUCGCUCCUUGGGUCCAGCAGAGCCAUUGUCUGGAUGCUCCAAAGCCCAAGGUGGUUUGGGGUGCAGGCGUCAAAUUAAGAGCAGAUGCAAGAAGAGCUGGGCGGAGGCCCCCUGGGUGUGUCCCGUGCACCGUCUCCUGUUCUUUGCCAAGUCCGCCCCGUGGUGUCCCGGGCUGUGGAGGGCCUGGUGGCUAUUAUUCCACUAGUGAUUUUUAGCAUGACCAACCGUUCUGGGGCAUUACAAAAUACAUUAAAAAAAAAAUAAAAUAAAAGUAAAGCUCGAUCUUUGAGGUUGCUACCUGGAAGGUUUUUGUCUGGGUUUGUACUUUGAUUUUUGAGCUUGACUUUUCUCAGUGCUGUAAAAGAGUUCUUAGGCUAGAUUAAUUUAGCAGUAGGAAGGUCUGGGCAGAAGAGUUAACGUGGGUACGUGUGGGCCCUCAACUGCCGUCUGCAACCCCGAGCUUCAGAGGUAAGAUGAAAGUCAGCCCCACCCAGAAUUCAGAAGUGGGCUACCCGCGAGCCGGAGCCAGCAGACUUGUUUGUGCAGCCUCAACAGAGCAUCACAACUGUGUUGAAUCGCUUGCCAACGUUUUAAAAAUCAGGAGUUUUGAUAGCAUUUCUUUAAGGUUCUGAAGAUUGGGUGCAUUCCUCAUGGGAACCACCGGCCGGGGUUGGUUGACAGCGCCCCCUAC
rnacentral:lncRNA from 1 species